GACGAACGCUGGCGGCGUGCCUAAUACAUGCAAGUAGAACGCUGAAGGAGGAGCUUGCUCUUCUGGAUGAGUUGCGAACGGGUGAGUAACGCGUAGGUAACCUGCCUGGUAGCGGGGGAUAACUAUUGGAAACGAUAGCUAAUACCGCAUAACAGUAGAUGUUGCAUGACAUUUACUUAAAAGGUGCAAUUGCAUCACUACCAGAUGGACCUGCGUUGUAUUAGCUAGUUGGUGGGGUAACGGCUCACCAAGGCGACGAUACAUAGCCGACCUGAGAGGGUGAUCGGCCACACUGGGACUGAGACACGGCCCAGACUCCUACGGGAGGCAGCAGUAGGGAAUCUUCGGCAAUGGACGGAAGUCUGACCGAGCAACGCCGCGUGAGUGAAGAAGGUUUUCGGAUCGUAAAGCUCUGUUGUAAGAGAAGAACGAGUGUGAGAGUGGAAAGUUCACAAUGUGACGGUAUCUUACCAGAAAGGGACGGCUAACUACGUG
rnacentral:rRNA from 1 species